AUACGUAGGGUGCAAGCGUUAAUCGGAAUUACUGGGCGUAAAGCGUGCGCAGGCGGUUUUGUAAGACAGUGGUGAAAUCCCCGGGCUCAACCUGGGAACUUCCAUUGUGACUGCAAGGCUGGAGUGCGGCAGAGGGGGAUGGAAUUCCGCGGGUAGCAGUGAAAUGCGUAGAUAUGCGGAGGAACACCGAUGGCGAAGGCAAUCCCCUGGGCCUGCACUGACGCUCAUGCACGAAAGCGUGGGGAGCAAACAGGAUUAGAUACCCUGGUAGUCCACGCCCUAAACGAUGUCAACUGGUUGUUGGGGAUUUAUUUUCUCAGUAACGAAGCUAACGCGUGAAGUUGACCGCCUGGGGAGUACGGCCGCAAGGUUAAAACUCAAAGGAAUUGACGGGG
rnacentral:rRNA from 1 species